AGCUUUGCGCAGUGGCAGUAUCGUAGCCAAUGAGGUUUAUCCGAGGCGCGAUUAUUGCUAAUUGAAACUAAAUUUGGAUGUUCUUUGUUUUCACAACAAAACAGCUAAUGUUAAAGAAAAUUAAGUAUUUAA
ensembl:snRNA U4 U4 spliceosomal RNA